CAAGUCUCUAUCGCUAUCUAGAGUUCCUGUUAACGGACAACAGGCUUCCAGUCAAAAUCAAGAUCAGCAAUUCUAAUCCCCUUAACAGAGGUUUUGUACAAAGGAGUAUCUGGAUUGUUGUUUUGCCGCUGUUCCUGGUUUUGUUAGUUGCUGGAUGGUUUAUUUGGCCGUUGUUGUAUUUGGAUUAUAGAAUUUGUUUCGGUUUAUGGUGGUUUAUAUAAUUGUAAUAGAUGGUUUGUUUGGUUUUAUUCAGUGGAUAUUGGGAACAGUGUGCGAUCAAAUUUUGGUAGUGCUUUGAAUUCAGUCUAUAAAAGGUCAAGCACUGAGAUACAAAAGAGAAGACAACAAAUCAGUUUGGGUUCGUUCUGGAAAAGACCGGUUAAGGAGCUUAAUGAUGCAGCAGUCAAAGGAGCUUAAUGAUGCAGCCGUCAAAGUUCAGAAGGUUUACAAGAGUUAUCGAACUCGAAGAAACCUUGCAGAUUGUGCAGUGGUGGCUGAGGAGGUGGAGAUACUCAUUAGAUUCUCCGGCUGGUACUAAAGAUUUAUGAUGGAAAACUUUAGAUUCUGCAGCUCUCAAGCAGAGUUCUGUGUCAUUCUUCGAUGUUGAGAAGCCGGAAACCGCCGUUUUGUGGUGUGCAAGGGCUAGGACUAGGCUGCGAAGACUGGAAAAGGUUUGUCUAAGAAUGAGAAAGCACAAAAAUUAGCUCUUCCACAUUGGCUUGAAGCUGUUGAAACUGAAUUUGAACAACAGUGGGAAGAUGAGAAGGCGGAAGAAUGGAAAAAUGCGAUUCACAAUGGUGAACAUGUUUGGGAUUAGCAGACUAUUAUUCAUGUUCACUAUUUUAGCAAUGUAGAAGAUAAAAAUCUAAAAGAGGGAACUACAAUCAAUAAACUUUUAGCAGAAAAUGCAACUUCAGAAUUCUACAAAGGGUCGAGUGAGAAACAGCUAGAGCUAGGUUUAUUAACAUUCAAGCUGCUUAUGAAUUGCUUUUAGAUGAAGAGAACAGAAGCCAAUGUGAUAGGAAGAACUGAGUGAACCCAUUCAAAGUAAGCUUUGUGGUUCAAGUUUUGGUUGCUCUGUAUUUUCUUGCUUCUUAUAUUAAGAUAGCAUUUAAUUUGAGUACAUGUAGGAAAAUCUUCAGAGUCUAUUGUGAUUCAUAUACCAACUGAGAGCUUGACUUCUGUCUUAGCAGUUUUUCUAACCUCUUCUUGAUGUGCA